GACGGAGGAUGCAAGCGUUAUCCGGAAUUAUUGGGCGUAAAGCGUCCGUAGGCGGUUUCAAAAGUCUGUUGUUAAAGCCCACAGCUCAACUGUGGAUCGGCAAUGGAAACUGUGAGACUAGAGAGUGGUAGGGGUAGAGGGAAUUCCUAGUGUAGCGGUGAAAUGCGUAGAUAUUAGGAAGAACACCAGUGGCGAAGGCGACUACCUGGACCAGCACUGACACUGAGGCACGAAAGCGUGGGGAGCAAACAGG
rnacentral:rRNA from 1 species